UACGUAGGGGGCGAGCGUUGUCCGGAGUUACUGGGCGUAAAGCGCACGCAGGCGGUCUGCUAAGUUUGGAGUGACAGUUGGUGGCUCAACCACCAAAGUGCUUUGAAAACUGAUAGACUUGAGGGCUUCAGAGGGACACGGAAUUCCGGGUGGAGUGGUGAAAUGCGUAGAGAUCCGGAGGAACACCAAAGGCGAAGGCAGUGUCCUGGGGAGUACCUGACGCUCAGGUGCGAAAGCCAGGGGAGCGAACGGG
rnacentral:rRNA from 1 species